UAUGACGACUCCUGGUAGAAAGAGGCUGCGUUCCAUAUCGACCCUGGAAGGACAGGAGGAAGCGAAAAGAAAGUAAAGAUGACAAACAAAGUGAAGGGAGGAGGCUGCGCGCCCAAUGAGCCUCCAUCUGCAGCCAAAUCUGGAACAGUAGCUUCAACAGUGAGGUGAUCACCUACUGUCUCCAUAACAACGCAGAGGGCCGAUGUGGUAGACAGCCUGCGAGCCCAUUCUGUCGGUGUCUCCGAUCACUAUCUGGCUCACUGGAGACAAAUUUCGACAAAAUGCUGGAGCCUGAGCUGCUCGUGGUGUUAGCGUUCCCUCUGAAAGGAGCACAACGGCGACUCGUUAGUCACAUGGUCUGUCUCACAGUCAUCCUGUGGAUUAUCUCAGUUCAUGGAUAAACCAUCCAUUUAUCAUUAUUUCAUUCAAACUGUUGUGUUCUUCUGUUUCCUAUACACGGCUGUGGUCUCACAUCAGUGUGUAUCAGAUUAUUACUGGCUCCUACAAAAAAGCGGCUUCUUUGUAAAACUCGUACGUCUGACAUCAGCUAAAGAGACAACAUAUCCAAUGUUAAAAGUGAGAUUUAAACCCAAACAAGCUGAGAAACGUGCAAUAAGAAAAUAAAUGUUGUAUGAUGGAGAGGCUGCUAGAUACAAAGACGGGCAGCUUCUGUGAAAUACUGCAAAAAAUUCAGCUAUCUAUGAGAAAAAUGCAGAGAAUAUAUGAAUGUUACAUCAUAUUGAUACACACUGGACAGAGCCUGAAAACCAAUAUCAAAUGCUGCGGUCUUCAACCCUGCAUUAAGAAUAAACAUGAUUGUGGAAACUAUGUGAUAAAAUCACUGCACAGACUCAGGAAGGCUUCUUCGUGCCACUGUCAACAAAUGCAGUUCACUGUCCAGCCUCUGCCAAACCAAACACACUAACUAGAUCCAGGAAUGAUUCUUCAGAUCAUUUCAGAAAGAAUCAGGUGAUGGGGAUAAUUAAGGAGAAGUCAUGAAAGCGGAUCCGCUGGAUUAGAGAAGAGCGACCAUGUGGCUCGUUCUCCGGUCUUUAAGUGAUGACGUAUGACCCUGCUUCAGGGUCCAGACUACACUGCGUUUAUUGAAGCUGUUGCAGUUACAUUUGUCCCUAACCAUCAGGAACCCU